ACUCAAAGGAAUUGACGGGGGCCCGCACAAGCGGCGGAGCAUGCGGAUUAAUUCGAUGCAACGCGAAGAACCUUACCAAGGCUUGACAUGCACGGGUAAGUUCCAGAGAUGGUUCCCCCGCAAGGUCCGUGCACAGGUGGUGCAUGGUUGUCGUCAGCUCGUGUCGUGAGAUGUUGGGUUAAGUCCCGCAACGAGCGCAACCCUUGUCUUAUGUUGCCAGCGGGUUAUGCCGGGGACUCAUAAGAGACUGCCGGGGUCAACUCGGAGGAAGGUGGGGAUGACGUCAAAUCAUCAUGCCCCUUAUGUCUUGGGCUUCACGCAUGCUACAAUGGCCGGUACAAAGGGCUGCGAAACCGUGAGGUGGAGCGAAUCCCAAAAAGCCGGUCUCAGUUCGGAUUGGGGUCUGCAACUCGACCCCAUGAAGUCGGAGUCGCUAGUAAUCGCAGAUCAGCAACGCUGCGGUGAAUACGUUCCCGGGCCUUGUACACACCGCCCGU
rnacentral:rRNA from 1 species